GCUGGGCGUGGUGGUGCAUGCCUGUAAUCCCAGCUACUUGGGAGGCUGAGGCAGGAGAAUCGCUUGAACCCAGGAAGUGGAGGUUGCAGUGAGCCAAGAUUGUGCCACUGCACUCCAGCCUGGGCAACAAGAGUGAAACUCUGCCUCAA
rnacentral:sRNA from 1 species